GGGGUGGAGACGGCUCUAUCCAAACAAAACUGUGUAAGAACUGGAAACAGUUUUCCAAGACUUGGGACCAUGAAUCUCUGACAGGGAGACAUUGUUGGGAUUUAACUACUUCAGCCUGAAGUGCUCUGUUACACUGAAGAACCAUCGUAUGGCACUGAGGAAGAUCCACGAUGAACGGAGUAGGUUUCAGAAUCUUCAAUCUCGAAAGUCUCACCGGAAAAGAAGCUGUAAACACCCCCAGGAAACCAUGGAAAUGGAUGACCAGACCCUUCAUCAUAAAGAUCUCAGCUUAUGACGAACAGACCAGAGAGAACUUGCCCGAAGACACCAACCAAGGAGCCUCUGCCCAGUUCUGCUGGCUCCUACAUGGCCCUGUCUGCUUGCAUUCAUAGCACCUAUGGUCAUGUGAAUUAUGCUGGCUUCUUCCUGUUGCUCUUUGGUAGAGAAAUUCCUGGGCCUUUGUCUACAUUCCCUGUUGUGCUUUAUCUGCAGCAUCUUCCCCUUUUCUGAC
rnacentral:lncRNA from 1 species